rnacentral:lncRNA from 1 species
CGACGGAGCUGUGGAGGCGGCGGACGUCCAGACGCAGGGAGAUCUGAAUUUGUGAGGGAGGAGCUUCGAGGGAGAAAAGAGAGGCGAAUCUGGUGGUGAGCGGAGAGAGAGCCGCGGCGGCGGUGCUUGCCGGUUUCUCAGUGACGGCGAAGGCGGAGAUCUCGUCGUUCCAGUAGCUGAGCGCGCUGCUGUGGCGCGAGAUCACGCGCGCGCAGAGGCUGCCGGCAGGAGAAACAACGAUGGCCUCGGCGGAAAUUGGGCACAGCGGCGGGCGAGUUUGCUUCGCCGGAUUUCGGAGCAGCAGAGACGAGCCCUCAUUGAAGAAAGGGAGUCGCCUGUUAUGUUGAGAGAGAGAGAGAGAUGAGAUUGAGAGGGAGAUAUCGG